GUCGAGAAUCUUCCGCAAUGCGCGAAAGCGUGACGGAGCGACACCGCGUGAUGGAUGAAGUCCUUCGGGGCGUAAACAUCUUUUAUAAAGGAGGAAAUUUUUGACGUUACUUUAUGAAUAAGGGGCUCCCAAUCUCGUGCCAGCAGGAGCGGUAAUACGAGAGCCUCAAGCGUUAUCCGGAAUCAUUGGGCGUAAAGGGUGCGUAGGUGGUUUGAUUAGUCUCCCGUUAAAACUUCGAGCUUAACUCGAAAAGAGCGGGGGAGACGGUCAAACUAGAGGAUGUGAGAGGUGUGUGGAACUCAUGGUGUAGGGGUGAAAUCCGUUGAUAUCAUGGGGAACACCAAAAGCGAAGGCAGCACACUGGCACAUCACUGACACUGAGGCACGAAACCUAAGGUAGCGAAUGGGAUUAGAAACCCGAGUAGUCC
rnacentral:rRNA from 1 species